UACGUAGGGUGCAGGCGUUAAUCGGAAUUACUGGGCGUAAAGCGUGCGCAGGCGGUUUUGUAAGACAGGCGUGAAAUCCCCGAGCUCAACUUGGGAAUUGCGCUUGUGACUGCAAGGCUAGAGUGUGUCAGAGGGGGGUAGAAUUCCACGUGUAGCAGUGAAAUGCGUAGAGAUGUGGAGGAAUACCGAUGGCGAAGGCAGCCCCCUGGGACAUGACUGACGCUCA
rnacentral:rRNA from 1 species